UACGUAGGUGGCAAGCGUUGUCCGGAUUUACUGGGCGUAAAGAGCGCGCAGGCGGUCGUUCAAGUCGCGUGUGAAAGCCCCCGGCUCAACUGGGGAGGGUCACGCGAUACUGAUCGACUCGAAGGCAGGAGAGGGAAGUGGAAUUCCCGGUGUAGUGGUGAAAUGCGUAGAGAUCGGCAGGAACACCCAGGGGGAAACCAGUCGACUGGGCAUCUACCUGACGCUGAGGUGCGAGAGCGUGGGGAGCGAACCGG
rnacentral:rRNA from 1 species